rnacentral:tRNA from 1 species
UCCCUGGUGACUCAGAGGUUAAAGCAUCUGCCUCCUGUGCAGGAGACCCAGGUUCAAUCCCUGGGUGGGGAA